GUCAGACCUGGCCAAGUCACUGGGGGCUUCUCUUCUAUUUGAAAGAGUUUGAGUUGGAUUCAAAGACAUGCAUUGGAACUCCAGCCCUGCCUAGUUUGGCCAGGACUGCAGGAAGCCGUGUCCUUCCCCAUCUGUGAAAUGGGACCGAGGGCAGCGCGCAUUCGAAGCCCCUAGCCCCAAGCCCCACAGGAGGUGCUCAUGGAAAGCGGUGUGCGGGUCCUUUCCGUAGGGAGCUGCACCCUAUGCCACAAAGAUGGUACCAAAGGCUCCCCCAAAGUGAGGACAGAACCGUGCUGUCUGCCAUAUCUUUCAUCGUCAGUUGCUAACACUGCACGCCUGCUGUGUGCCAGGACAGUGACACACCGAUGACAUGCAUGAGUCCACCUAAUCUACACAACAACCCUGUGAGGAAGAGGGGGGGGUCGAGACUCCCCAGAAGGCAGGAAGACCUGUCAGUGCCAUUCCCAUAGGAGAGGAGAGAAGGAGUAGACCAAUGGAAUCGACCACAGGAAGCUGAACUCCCAUCUGGGGGACGAGGAUGGCUGAGGCUCAUGGGCCAGACUUUCCUGGUGCUUGGCCUCAGGAACCAGAAGUCCCAAUAGGUGUUGCACACAGCAGCCCAAGUUUUGGUGUCAAUUCCAUUCCUGAGGAUCAGGGUGGGGCCUAAGGAAGAGACCACUAGACCAGAUGGUCAGGGUC